rnacentral:rRNA from 1 species
UACGUAGGGUGCAAGCGUUAAUCGGAAUUACUGGGCGUAAAGCGUGCGCAGGCGGUGAUGUAAGACAGGUGUGAAAUCCCCGGGCUUAACCUGGGAACUGCAUUUGUGACUGCAUCGCUGGAGUGCGGCAGAGGGGGAUGGAAUUCCGCGUGUAGCAGUGAAAUGCGUAGAUAUCUGGAGGAAUACCGGUGGCGAAGGCGGCAUCCUGGACCGAGAUUGACACUGAUGAGCGAAAGCUAGGGGAGCAAACGGG